GAAUUUUACGGAGUUUCACUGAAAAUUUACAGAUUUUGUGCAAUAAAACUGAGAUUCAAAUUGAUGAUAAGAGGAAUUUAAGCCAGAAUAGGCGUUAAUUAAGAAAGUAAUUAACAAUUAAACAAACUUUUAAGGAAAAGGUCUAUGAUGAAAAUUUUUACCAUUUUUUGCUCUUUCUUUUCAACAAGCAUAAAACAGAUCAAGAGCCCUUGGAACUCUUAAAGAAAUUAAAUGGAAAAAUGAUGGAUAUUAACCCAGAUAUGAUUGGCCAAAC
rnacentral:misc_RNA from 1 species